CCCACACCCUUCUCUCUCUUUCUCAGACCUGUGCCCUCAGUAGGGAGAUGAUGCCUGGGGCUGCUCCCCUGGACUCUGCCCCAGGCCCCAGGCUCCUCUGUGGUGUUGUCCUGUGUCUCCUGGGAGCAGGUGUGGUGCAUGCUGGGGUCCUCCAGUCCCCCAGACACCUGAUCAAAGCCAAGGGAGGAAAGGCCACUCUGCAGUGCUCUCCUGACUCUGGACAUAAUACUGUGUACUGGUACCAGCAGGCCGAGGACCAGAGAUUCCAGUUCCUCAUUUCCUAUUAUCGAGAGUCAGAGAGAGAGAAAGGAAGCAUCCCUGGCCACUUCUCAGCUCGGCAGUUCAGUGACUAUCACUCUGAGCUGAACAUGAGCGCCUUGGAGCUGAGGGACUCUGCGCUAUAUCUGUGUGCCAGCAGCUUGCACAGCCCUGCACAGGGACUGGCUUUCUCUACCCAAACCUUCCUGCCCCAGCUGAGGAUGUCACUGAGGGGACACAUGGAGGCUGCCAUCACCCAACGUCCAAGACACAAGCUCACAGAGACAGGAAGACAGGUGAAUUUGAGCUGUCGCCAGAAUGACAACCAUGACUACAUGUACUGGUAUCGACAAGACCCUGGGCUUGGGUUGAGGCUGCUCUAUUACUCAAAUAGAGAGAGGAACACUGUAAAAGGAGACAUCCCGGAUAGGUACAGCGUGUCCAGACCACGCACGGAGGAGUUCUCCCUCACUGUGGACUCAGCCACCCCCUCCUACACAGCUGUGUACUGGUGUGCCAGCAGUUUCCCCACAGUGCUGUGCGGCUGCCUCCUCUCUGCACAGAAAGUGUGA